AGAGUUUGAUCCUGGCUCAGGACGAACGCUGGCGGUGUGCUUAACACAUGCAAGUGGCGCGACGAACCAGAGCUUGCUCUGGGGCAAAGCCGCGAACGGGUGAGUAACACGUGGGUAACCUGCCCCGAUGACUGGGACAACCCGGGGAAACCCGGGCUAAUACCGGAUGAUGCAUCCCGGCUUAAGCCGGUAUGUCAAAGGUAGCUUCGGCUUCCGCAUUGGGAGGGGCCCGCGGCCCAUUAGCUUGUUGGUGGGGUAAUGGCCUACCAAGGCAACGAUGGGUAGCUGGUCUGAGAGGACGAUCAGCCACACUGGGACUGAGACACGGCCCAGACUCCUACGGGAGGCAGCAGUGGGGAAUCUUGCGCAAUGCGCGAAAGCGUGACGCAGCAACACCGCGUGAGGGAAGACGGCCUUAGGGUUGUAAACCUCUUUCAGUUGGGACGAAGGUUCGACGGUGAAUAGCCGGCCGGACUGACGGUACCUUCAGAAGAAGCUCCGGCUAACUACGUGCCAGCAGCCGCGGUAAUACGUAGGGAGCGAGCGUUGUCCGGAAUCAUUGGGCGUAAAGAGCGCGUAGGUGGAUUGGUCAGUCUGCUGUGAAAGUCAAAGGCUCAACCUUUGAAAGCCGGUGGAUACUGCCAAUCUAGAGUGCGGAAGAGGCGAGUGGAAUUCCUGGUGUAGCGGUGGAAUGCGCAGAUAUCAGGAAGAACACCGAUAGCGAAGGCAACUCGCUGGGACGCUACUGACACUGAGGCGCGAAAGCGUGGGGAGCAAACAGGAUUAGAUACCCUGGUAGUCCACGCCGUAAACGAUGGGUACUAGGUGUGGGAGGUGUCGACUCCUCCCGUACCGCAGCUAACGCACUAAGUACCCCGCCUGGGGAGUACGGCCGCAAGGCUAAAACUCAAAGGAAUUGACGG
rnacentral:rRNA from 1 species